AGCAGCCGCGGUAAUUCCAGCUCCAAUAGCGUAUAUUAAAGUUGUUGCAGUUAAAAGGCUCGUAGUUGAAUUUCGGGGUUUAUCCGUUGGUCGGGCUUUUGGGUCUGUACUGGCGUGAUGGAUUCCUACCUUCUGAAUAACCAGCAUGUCAUUAAUUUGGUGCGCUGGGGAAGCAGGACUGUUACCUUGAAAAAAUUAGAGUGCUUAAAGCAGGCUAUUGCCUGAAUACAUUAGCAUGGAAUAAUGAAAUAGGACGCAUGGCUCUAUUUUGUUGGUUUCUAGGAUCACCGUAAUGAUUAAUAGGGAUAGUUGGGGGCAUUAGUAUUCAAUUGUCAGAGGUGAAAUUCUUGGAUUUAUUGAAGACUAACUUCUGCGAAAGCAUUUGCCAAGGAUGUUUUCAUUAAUCAAGAACGAAAGUUAGGGGAUCGAAGACGAUCAGAUACCGUCGUAGUCUUAGCCAUAAACUAUGCCGACUAGGGAUCGGACGAUAUUAAUUUUUUAAUGACUCG
rnacentral:rRNA from 1 species